rnacentral:rRNA from 1 species
GAUGAACGCUGGCGGCGUGCCUAAUACAUGCAAGUCGAGCGAACAGACGAGGAGCUUGCUCCUCUGACGUUAGCGGCGGACGGGUGAGUAACACGUGGAUAACCUACCUAUAAGACUGGGAUAACUUCGGGAAACCGGAGCUAAUACCGGAUAAUAUAUUGAACCGCAUGGUUCAAUAGUGAAUGACGGUUUUGCUGUCACUUAUAGAUGGAUCCGCGCCGCAUUAGCUAGUUGGUAAGGUAACGGCUUACCAAGGCAACGAUGCGUAGCCGACCUGAGAGGGUGAUCAGCCACACUGGAACUGAGACACGGUCCAGACUCCUACGGGAGGCAGCAGUAGGGAAUCUUCCGCAAUGGGCGAAAGCCUGACGGAGCAACGCCGCGUGAGUGAUGAAGGUCUUCGGAUCGUAAAACUCUGUUAUUAGGGAAGAACAAAUGUGUAAGUAACUAUGCACGUCUUGACGGUACCUAAUCAGAAAGCCACGGCUAACUACGUG